rnacentral:rRNA from 1 species
CUUACCAGGGCUUAAAAGCAGGCUGCAUGUGGUAGAGAUAACCCUUUCUUCGGAACGACUGCAAGGUGCUGAAUGUUUGUCGUCAGCUCGUGAAUAGAGGUGUCAGGUUAAGUCCUAUAACGAGCGCAACCCCUACCGUUAGUUGCCAGCAUGUCAAGAUGGGGACUCUAACGGGACUGCCGGUGCAAACCGUGAGGACGGUGGGGACGACGUCAAAUCAUCACGGCCCUUACGUCCUGGGCUACACACGUGCUACAAUGGCCGGUACAGAGGGAAGCCACCCCGCAAGGGGGCGCGGAUCUACAAAACCGGUCACAGUUCGGAUCGGGGUCUGCAACUCGACCCCGUGAAGCUGGAAUCGCUAGUAAUCGGAUAUCAGCCAUGAUCCGGUGAAUACGUUCCCGGGCCUUGUACACACCGCCCGUCAAGCCAUGGAAGCCGGGAGUGCCUGAAGUCCGUCACCGCAAGGAGCGGCCUAGGGCAAAAUCGGUAACUAGGGCUAAGUCGUAACAAGGUAGCCGUACCGGAAGGUGCGGCUGGAACACCUCCUUU